AUUCUUCUCAUCGCUACAGAAAGCUUCUCCGCCACCAUCUCUGCACGCCACCAUCUCCGCCACCUUCCCGUGGCGUCGCCUCUAUCCCUCGCCGCACUCGUUACUUCCCCCGGCCGCUGCCGUGGAGUCCGAUUUCAAAAAUGAAUUCAGGAAAAGAAGUCAAAAAACGUAAUGUAACAGUGCCCUAACUUCUUCUCACUGCACAAAGCUUUUCCGCUACCAUCUCUGCGCGCCACCAUCUCCGCCACCUUCUAGCGGCGUCGCCUUCAUCCCUCGCCGCACUCAUUACUUCCCCCGCUGCCGUGAGGUCAGAUUUCGUAGGAAAGAUUUCAAAGUCAUAUUCGUCGCCCUUUUUAGUUCCACAGGUAUUUAUUUGUACUUCCUGCUCUUAAUGUUGUGCCUUGGAUUUUCUUUCUUUAGUGAAUGCCUCGCCCUGUAACUGUACUGCAUUUUCCAAUCUUUACUUGUCAAGUUUGAAUAUUUUGCCUUCCUCUAAUUCGCCCUAUGGUAGCAUUAGGUUUGUUGAGGGAAGUUUUGAAUAGUGUAAAUAGGUUUUAAGAUUGAUGAAAACUCAUAGCAGGUAUCCACGAAACAGAACAAUCGGCCUUGCUCUGCUGUGUUUCACCGCUGCUCUGGGUUUUCGGUCUGCCGUGCUUUGUUUGCAGCUCUCUCAGUCUUUCUCUGGUCUGCCGUGCUUCGUCGCCUCUGAGUCUAAG
rnacentral:lncRNA from 1 species